UGGCGGCGUGGAUAAGACAUGCAAGUCGGACGCUAAUUAGGGGGUAGCAAUAUUCCCUAGUUGGAGUGGCGCAAGGGUGCGUAACACGUGGGUAAUCUGCCGUGAAGUUUGGGAUAACUCGCUGAAAGGCGAGCUAAUACCGGAUGUGGAUGUUGGGGAGCAUUUUCUGGCAUCUAAAGCUGGGGACCGUAACAGGCCUGGCGCUUCACGAUGAGCCCGCGGCCUAUCAGCUAGUUGGUAAGGUAACGGCUUACCAAGGCUAAGACGGGUAGCUGGUCUGAGAGGACGACCAGCCACACUGGAACUGAGACACGGUCCAGACACCUACGGGUGGCAGCAGCCGAGAAUUUUUCACAAUGGGCGCAAGCCUGAUGGAGCGACGCCGCGUGGGGGAUGAAGGGUUUCGAUCCGUAAACCCCUGUCAUUUGCGAACAAACCUUAUGCAAGAAUACUGCAUGAGCUGAUUGUAGUGAAAGAGGAAGGGACGGCUAACUCUGUGCCAGCAGCCGCGGUAAUACAGAGGUCCCAAGCGUUGUUCGGAUUCACUGGGCGUAAAGGGUGCGUAGGUGGCCGUGGAAGUUUGGUGUGAAAGCUCGGAGCUUAACUCCGAAAAGUCAUCAAAUACUCUACGGCUGGA
rnacentral:rRNA from 1 species